ensembl:lncRNA LINC00879 long intergenic non-protein coding RNA 879
GAAGUCCAGGGCUAGGAGCCUCAGCCGGCGGACGCCAGGAAACAGAUCUGAGAGCUGAGAAGUCCAAGAUGAAGUCUCUGGCAGAUUUGAUGUCUGCCAAGAACUGAACCAAAAUACAAACAACAUAAACUACCACUUGAUGAGAAGAACUUCAAAGUCAAAUUGCAAAAGGUGACUAAAAAAGGGGAGUACUUUCAGCCGUUUUCAAAAUAAUCUAUGAUAUGUACUGGAAAACUUCUAAUAAUCCUUGUCAUUUUACAACUUUCCCACAGUUAGAUCAUCAGCAAAUGUCACUUGGAUCCCUAGCUAAAUUGUUCUUCCCAGAAAAUAGUUAUCUCCACUAUGGAAAGUAUUUUAUCAGAAGAAUUCGUAGAAGUAGAAUCUGUUUGUCUUCAGUUAAACAAAAGAAGAACCUCAUUGCUUUCCAACUGGGCCCCGGCCAUUUUCCAGUUGAAACAUCAAAUAUUUUAUUUGUGUCUUUCACUGCCAAUUAAAGGGCAACAGAAAUGGUACAGGUACCACAGUUUGUUUAUCCAUUCAUCUGUGGAAGGACAUCUUGGUUACUUGUAGUUUAUGGUGAUUAAAAGUAAUGAUACUAUAAACAUUUGUGGACAGGUUUUUGUGUGGACAUAGGUUUUCAAUUCAAUUGCAUAAAUACUUAGUUGGAUUGUAUGGUAAGACUAUGUUUACCUUUGUAAUAACUUCCAAACUGUUUUCAAAAGUGGUUUACCACUUUGAAUUUCCACUGUCAAUGAAGGGUACUUCUUCCUGCACUGUGCAAUCACCAUCCACUGAUAUCCUUACUUUCUAUUUCUAUUUUUAUACUUUAACCAUUCUAAUAGAUGUGUAAUGGCAUCUCAUUGUUUUAUUUGGAAUUGCUUAAUAAUGAAUAAUUAAUCAUUUUCUUAUGUUUAUUUGCAUUUGCAUAUCUUAUUUGGUAAAAUAUCUGUUCAGAUUUUUAAAUUGAAUUGUUUUCUUAUUGUUGAUAUUUGAAACUGUUGACCUUUAAACAUUCUUUCUAUAUUUUGAAUAUAAGUAUUUUAUAAGAAA